GCUGGAUGCGGUGGCACAGUCCUAGCUACUUGGGAGGCUGAGACAGAAGUAUCGCUUGAGUCCAAGAGUUCUGGGCUGUAGUUCUGGGCUGAUUUGGUGUCUGCACUAAGUUCAGUAUCAAUAUGGUGACCUCCCGGGAGCAGGGGGCCACCAGGUUGCCUAAGGAAGGGUAAUCCAGCCCAGGUCAGAAAUGGAGCAGGUCAAAACUCCUGUGCUAAUCAGUAGUGGGAUUGCGCCUGAGAAUAGCCACUGCACUCUUGCCUGGCAACAUAGUGAGACCCCCAUCUCUC
rfam:Otolemur garnettii contig122245, whole genome shotgun sequence.